rnacentral:tRNA from 1 species
UGGGGGAUAGUCUAACGGUAGGACAGCUGACUCUGGAUCAGUAGGUCGGGGUUCGAAUCCCUGUCCCCCAGCCA